rnacentral:rRNA from 1 species
ACAUCCAGCGAAUUCGGUAGAGAUACCUUAGUGCCUUCGGGAACGCUGAGACAGGUGCUGCAUGGCUGUCGUCAGCUCGUGUUGUGAAAUGUUGGGUUAAGUCCCGCAACGAGCGCAACCCUUAUCCUUUGUUGCCAGCGGUCCGGCCGGGAACUCAAAGGAGACUGCCAGUGAUAAACUGGAGGAAGGCGGGGAUGACGUCAAGUCAUCAUGGCCCUUACGAGUAGGGCUACACACGUGCUACAAUGGCGCAUACAAAGAGAAGCGACCUCGCGAGAGCAAGCGGACCUCAUAAAGUGCGUCGUAGUCCGGAUUGGAGUCUGCAACUCGACUCCAUGAAGUCGGAAUCGCUAGUAAUCGUAGAUCAGAAUGCUACGGUGAAUACGUUCCCGGGCCUUGUACACACCGCCCGUCACACCAUGGGAGUGGGUUGCAAAAGAAGUAGGUAGCUUAACCUUCGGGAGGGCGCUUACCACUUGUGAUUCAUGACUGGGGUGAAGUCGUAACAAGGUAAGCGUAGUGCU